UUUCGAUGGUAAGGUAUUGGCUUACCAUGGUUUCAACGGGUAACGGAUUUUUAGGGAAAGAUCCCGGAGAGGGAGCUGAGAAACGGCUACCACAUCCAAGGAAGGCAGCAGGCGCGCAAAUUACCCAAUCCCGACACGGGGAGGUAGUGACAAUAAAUACUGAUACAGGGCUCUUUUGGGUCUUGUAAUCGGAAUGAGUACAAUUUAAAUACCUUAACGAGGAACAAUUGGAGGGCAAGUCUGGUGCCAGCAGCCGCGGUAAUUCCAGCUCCAAUAGCGUAUAUUAAAGUUGUUGCAGUUAAAAAGCUCGUAGUUGAACCUUGGGCCUGGCUGGCCGGUCCGCCUCACCGCGUGUACUGGUCCGGCCGGGCCUUUCCUUCUGGAGAACCGCAUGCCCUUCACUGGGUGUGUCGGGGAACCAGGACUUUUACUUUGAGAAAAUUAGAGUGUUCAAAGCAGGCCUUUGCUCGAAUACGUUAGCAUGGAAUAAUAGAAUAGGACGUGCGGUCCUAUUUUGUUGGUUUCUAGAACCGCCGUAAUGAUUAAUAGGGAUAGUCGGGGGCGUCAGUAUUCAAUUGUCAGAGGUGAAAUUCUUGGAUCUAUUGAAGACUAACUACUGCGAAAGCAUUCGCCAAGGAUGUUUUCAUUAAUCAGUGAACGAAAGUUAGGGGAUCGAAGACGAUCAGAUACCGUCGUAGUCUUAACCGUAAACUAUGCCGACUAGGGAUCGGGCGAUGUUUCUAUAUUGACUCGCUCGGCACC
rnacentral:rRNA from 1 species